rnacentral:rRNA from 1 species
ACCGGUUGAUCCUGCCGGACCCGACCGCUAUCGGGGUAGGGCUAAGCCAUGCGAGUCGCGCGCCCGGGGGCGCCCGGGAGCGGCGCACGGCUCAGUAACACGUGCCCAACCUACCCUCGGGAGGGGGACACCCCCGGGAAACUGGGGCCAAUCCCCCAUAGGGGAGGGGCGCUGGAAGGCCCCCUCCCCCAAAGGGAUGGCGGCCGAUCCGCCGCCAUCCGCCCGAGGAUGGGGGCACGGCCCAUCAGGUAGUUGGCGGGUUAAAGGCCCGCCAAGCCGAAGACGGGUAGGGGCGGUGAGAGCCGCGAGCCCCGAGAUCGGCACUGAGACAAGGGCCGAGGCCCUACGGGGUGCAGCAGGCGCGAAUACUCCGCAAUGCGGGCAACCGCGACGGGGCUACCCCGAGUGCCGGGCGAAGAGCCCGGCUUUUGCCCGGUCUAAAAAGCCGGGAGAAUAAGCGGGGGGCAAGUCUGGUGUCAGCCGCCGCGGUAAUACCAGCUCCGCGAGUGGUCGGGGUGUUUACUGGGCUUAAAGCGCCCGUAGCCGGCCCGGCAAGUCGCUCCUGAAAUCCCAGGGCCCAACCCUGGGGCGGGGGGCGAUACUGCCGGGCUAGGGGGCGGGAGAGGCCGCCGGUACUCCGGGGGUAGGGGCGAAAUCCGUUAAUCCCCGGAGGACCACCAGUGGCGAAAGCGGGCGGCCAGAACGCGCCCGACGGUGAGGGGCGAAAGCCGGGGGAGCAAAGGGGAUUAGAUACCCCUGUAGUCCCGGCCGUAAACGAUGCGGGCUAGCUGUCGGCCGGGCUUAGGGCCCGGCCGGUGGCGAAGGGAAACCGUUAAGCCCGCCGCCUGGGGAGUACGGCCGCAAGGCUGAAACUUAAAGGAAUUGGCGGGGGGGCACCACAAGGGGUGAAGCUUGCGGCUUAAUUGGAGUCAACGCCGGAAACCUCACCCGGGGCGACAGCAGGAUGAAGGCCAGGCUAACGACCUUGCCGGACGAGCUGAGAGGAGGUGCAUGGCCGUCGUCAGCUCGUGCCGUGAGGUGUCCGGUUAAGUCCGGCAACGAGCGAGACCCCCACCCCUAGUUGCUACCCCGUCCUACGGGACGGGGGGCACACUAGGGGGACUGCCGGCGUAAGCCGGAGGAAGGAGGGGGCCACGGCAGGUCAGUAUGCCCCGAAACCCCGGGGCUGCACGCGAGCUGCAAUGGCGGGGACAGCGGGAUCCGACCCCGAAAGGGGGAGGCAAUCCCGUAAACCCCGCCCCAGUAGGGAUCGAGGGCUGCAACUCGCCCUCGUGAACGUGGAAUCCCUAGUAACCGCGUGUCACCAACGCGCGGUGAAUACGUCCCUGCCCCUUGCACACACCGCCCGUCGCACCACCCGAGGGAGCCCUCUGCGAGGCCCCUUGCCGACGAGGUGGGGGGACGAGCAGGGGGCUCCCAAGGGGGGUGAAGUCGUAACAAGGUAGCCGUAGGGGAACCUGCGGCUGGAUCACCU